rnacentral:rRNA from 1 species
ACGCUCGACACCUACGGGGGCAGCAGUGGGGAAUAUUGCACAAUGGGGGAAACCCUGAUGCAGCGACGCCGCGUGAGUGAAGAAGUAAUUCGUUAUGUAAAGCUCUAUCAGCAGGGAAGAAAGUGACGGUACCUGAGUAAGAAGCCCCGGCUAACUACGUGUCAGCAGCCGCGGUAAUCUGAGCGGGCUGGCAAGGC